rnacentral:lncRNA from 1 species
CUCUUUCGAUCUGAAACUAGUUGUGCACUGAAUUGAUGUACGAGGCAGCG